rnacentral:rRNA from 1 species
UACGUAGGGUGCAAGCGUUGUCCGGAAUUAUUGGGCGUAAAGAGCUCGUAGGCGGUCUGUCGCGUCUGCUGUGAAAAUCAGGCUCAACCCUGGACCUGCAGUGGGUACGGGCAGACUAGAGUGCGGUAGGGGAGAUCGGAAUUCCUGGUGUAGCGGUGAAAUGCGCAGAUAUCGGGAAGAACACCAAGGGCGAAAGCGCUCUGCUGGGCCGAAACUGACACUGAGAGACGAAGCUAGGGGAGCGAAUAGG